GUAUACUCUAAGUUUUUCUUUACUAUACAUUUUAUACCCCCUCCCCUGUUUCAAUUUUUUAAAGAAUUUGAAAACAAGACUUUAAUUAUUGCCAGCUUACCCUAUUUGCAUAUUUUCUGAUAAAAAAUGCCUAGAACCUGUUAAAAACUGUUUUGAUAACAUAUUGAAAGCAUAUCAGAAUAUCAUAAAUGUUAUGUUUAGCAGUCAAUCAUUACAACAUUCAAGAUUAUAUAAAGUAUCCAAUUCAG
rnacentral:lncRNA from 1 species